rnacentral:rRNA from 1 species
GAUGAACGCUAGCUACAGGCUUAACACAUGCAAGUCGCGGGGCAUCAUGGAGGUUGCUUGCAAUUUCUGAUGGCGACCGGCGCACGGGUGAGUAACGCGUAUCCAACCUUCCCAUUACUACGGCAUACCCCGUUGAAAGGCGGCCUAAUUCCGUAUGCAGUCCGAAGCAGUCAUCUAAUUUGGACGAAAGGUAUAUUCUAUCGGUAAUGGAUGGGGAUGCGUCCGAUUAGCCAGCCGGCGGGGUAACGGCCCACCGGGGCAUUGAUCGGUAGGGGUUCUGAGAGGAAGGUCCCCCACACUGGAACUGAGACACGGUCCAGACUCCUACGGGAGGCAGCAGUGAGGAAUAUUGGUCAAUGGGCGUAAGCCUGAAACCAGCCAAAGUAGCGUGCAGGAAGACGGGCCCCUAUGGGUUGUAAAAUG